GUUGACCUCNGAUCAGGUAGGGAUACCCGCUGAACUUAAGCAUAU
rnacentral:rRNA from 1 species